rnacentral:rRNA from 1 species
UACGUAGGUGGCAAGCGUUGUCCGGAUUUACUGGGCGUAAAGAGCGCGCAGGCGGUUGGAUAAGUCGAAUGUGAAAGCCCCCGGCUCAACUGGGGAGGGUCAUUCGAUACUGUCCGACUCGAAGGCAGGAGAGGGAAGCGGAAUUCCCGGUGUAGUGGUGAAAUGCGUAGAUAUCGGGAGGAACACCAGUGGCGAAGGCGGCUUUCUGGCCUGUUCUUGACGCUGAGGCGCGAAAGCCAGGGGGAGCAAAGCGGG